rnacentral:rRNA from 1 species
UACGUAGGGUGCGAGCGUUGUCCGGAAUUAUUGGGCGUAAAGAGCUCGUAGGCGGCCUGUCGCGUCUGCUGUGAAAUCCCGGGGCUUAACCCCGGGCGUGCAGUGGAUACGGGCUGGCUGGAGGCAGGCAGGGGAGAACGGAAUUCCCGGUGUAGCGGUGAAAUGCGCAGAUAUCGGGAGGAACACCGGUGGCGAAGGCGGCUCUCUGGGACGGUACUGACGCUGAGACGCGAAAGCGUGGGGAGCGAACAGG